GAUGAACGCUAGCUACAGGCUUAACACAUGCAAGUCGAGGGGUUUCGAAGAGCUUGCUCCGAGAAACGACCGGCGCACGGGUGAGUAACGCGUAUCCAACCUGCCCUUCAUAUUGGGAUAGCCUUCCGAAAGGGAGAUUAAUACCGAAUAACAUUACUUUGAGGCAUCUUGAGGUAAUUAAAUCUUCGGAGGUAUAAGAUGGGCAUGCGUAGCAUUAGCUAGAUGGUGCGGUAACGGCGUACCAUGGCGACGAUGCUUAGGGGUUCUGAGAGGAAGGUCCCCCACACUGGUACUGAGAUACGGACCAGACUCCUACGGGAGGCAGCAGUGAGGAAUAUUGGUCAAUGGUCGGAAGACUGAACCAGCCAUGCCGCGUGCAGGAAGAAUGUCUUAUGGAUUGUAAACUGCUUUUGUAUGGGAAUAAUAAUAGCUUUGCGAAGUUAGAUGCAUGUACCAUACGAAUAAGGAUCGGCU
rnacentral:rRNA from 1 species